UACGGAGGGGGCUAGCGUUGUUCGGAAUUACUGGGCGUAAAGCGCACGUAGGCGGCUUUGUAAGGUAGAGGUGAAAGCCCGGAGCUCAACUUCGGAAUUGCCUUUAAGACUGCAUCGCUUGAAUCAUGGAGAGGUCAGUGGAAUUCCGAGUGUAGAGGUGAAAUUCGUAGAUAUUCGGAAGAACACCAGUGGCGAAGGCGACUGACUGGACAUGUAUUGACGCUGAGGUGCGAAAGCGUGGGGAGCAAACAGG
rnacentral:rRNA from 1 species